UAUAUAUAUAUAUAUAUAUAUAUAUAGUUGAGCUGGAAUGCUAUCGAUAGCAAACUAGCCUCGUUGCCACCCAUUUAUUUUCGAUAAUGGAGUCUUUAAAUUGACGAUCGGCACUGUUGAACAUGAUCUAUACUACUUGAAGUAUCUAGAAACCAAAUUUCAAAUCAUUUCGACAUUAUUGACCUAACGAUCAAAGGGUUUUAAAAUUUGUAAUUUUAAUGGUAGAUAUAAGACGUUUUCUCGUUUAACGGUGUAAAACUAUCCAAAUCAAUUGAAUUUUGGUUAGAAAAUUCUUUAAACUAUUUAGAAUAAGAUCUAUACUCUCGAUCUUGAUUACAAAAUUUCUAUCAUCACUUUUUAGAGGAUAUUCAUUUUCAGCCGUUCAUUUUUACGCUCACUUGAUGGACAAGAGAACAAUAUCGAAAAGUAUGAAAUUUGAUUUCUAGAUACUUCAAGUGGUAUAGAUCAUAUUCAACGGUUCCGAUCAUUGAUUUGGAGGCUCCAUCAUCGAAAACAAAUGGGUGGCAACGGAGCCCAUUUGCUACCUAUAGUAUUCUAGCUCAACUCUCUCUCUCUCUCUCUCUCUCUCUCUCUCUCUAUAUAUAUAUAUAUAUAUAUAUAUAUAUAUAUAU
rnacentral:lncRNA from 1 species